GGGGGGUGGGGCAGCCUUAGCCACCCACGGCCUGGAGCCUGGGAGGACGAGGAGCUACGCCAGGCUAACCGCCUCGUCACAACUUGCCCAGACAAGACACACUUUAUCUUGCACCCUGGAAGAAGGAGCCGGCCUGCCUCUCCCUGCUCGGCUGCUCCGAGAGCCCCGCCUCUGCGCCAGAAGCAAUCCCGGGAUCUGGGGCCCCGGCGACGACUCGUGGCUAGCAGCGCCCGGCUUUCGCCCAGGAGCGCGCAGCUGCGGUGCUGGAAACAGCGGUGAGCAACACACCUCUCUUAUUCCCGCCGAUCCCGCCAGCCCAGUGGAUGGAGCCCAGAAUCCACAAACCUGCCAGGAAAGAAAAAAAAAUUCCUGAUGGUUGGUCCAAGCAGGGCCUCCCUGGUGGAUUGAGGAGGAAUGCCUGGCUUUUCCUCAGCGCCUUGAUCUCCGCGGGAACCACUGGCAGCCUCCAGAAGACCCCCACGAUGAGAGGCCUGGGGUCUGCAGGUCACUGCUAGAACUGUUUAAAGAAUGCAGCACCGCCACAAGUUUGUAAGGUCCCUGAGCGCAUGCUGAACGCGCGUGGGCGGAUACGCCUAGUGCUCCAGGUCGGGGCUGGGCGCUGCCAUAGCAACGUCCUGGACGCCCAGAUCUUAGGCUGCCGCCGCCGCCGCAGCAGGGGUCUGGGCCUUCGGCGGGCUCACGAGGGGAGUGGCGGCGGCGGCCCCGAGGCGGCCCGGGCCAGUAGAGUACACUGCCCCGCCCCUGCAGCGCAAGCUUAGGCGGAGGACUGGCUUGCAAGCAUGCCCUUUCAGAAGCACGUCUAUUACCCUCUGGCCAACAGCCCCGAGGGGCCCGACGCCUCUUCCGCAGGCGCGGCCCCCAUGGCCUUUGUCCCCCCCAGAGCGGCCUCGGGCCCCCUGCCCUUCUUCCAGUUUCGGCCGCGACUGGAGAGCGUGGACUGGAGGCGGCUGAGCGCCAUCGACGUGGACAAGGUGGCCGGCGCCGUGGACGUCCUGACGCUGCAGGAGAACAUCAUGAAUAUCACCUUCUGCAAGCUGGAGGACGAGAAGUGCCCACACUGCCAGUCGGGGGUAGACCCAGUGCUGCUGAAGCUGAUCCGCCUGGCGCAGCUCACCAUCGAAUACCUAAUGCAUUCGCAGGAGUUCCUCACCUCGCAGCUAAACCUGGUGGAGGAAAGGCUGCGCCUGAGCCUGAUCGACUACGAGCAGAGUAAGCAGCUGCUCACCAAGCAGGCUGGCGAGAUCAAGCUACUUAAGGACGAGUGUAAACGGAGGAAGAAGAUGCUGUCCACACAGCAGCUCAUGAUAGAGGCCAAAGCCAGCUAUUACCAGUGCCACUUCUGUGACAAGGCCUUCAUGAACCAAGCUUUCCUACAAAGCCACAUUCAGCGCCGCCACACUGCAGAGUCCCACCUUGAGUAUGAUACGAAGGCCCAGACCGACAGGCUCCAGAAGGAGGUUGAAAUGUUGAAGGAACAGCUGCAGCUCACCAGGUCUCAACUGGAGUCUUCCCAGCAUGCCCAUGCAGUCCGGUUCUCUAAGGAAUAUGAAAUGCAGAAGUCGAAAGAAGAUGACUUCCUGAAGUUGUUUGAGAGAUGGAAAGAGGAGGAGAAGGAGAAGUUGCUCAACGAAAUGGAAAAGGUCAAGGAGAUGUUCAUGAAGGAAUUUAAAGAACUAACUUCUAAGAAUUCGGCAUUAGAAUACCAAUUGUUAGAAAUACAGAAGUCCAAUAUGAAGUUCAAGUCCAACAUCGGCUCCUUAAGAGACGCUCAUGAGUGUAAGGAAGAUCACCUCCCGAGUCCCCAGGAUCUCCAGAACAUGCUUCAGCUCCUGGAAGGCCAGGCGAGCAAGUGGACAAAUCGAUUUCAAGUUCUCAGUGAGGAUCACAGCAAGGAGAAGGGACAGCUCCUGUCACAUAUAGAGAAGCUCCGGAGCUCGAUGAUGAAGGAUCUCAGUGCAGAUAAUGUUUUCUACAAGCAGCGGGUGGAAGAGUUAGAUCAGAAGCUCAAGGAGCAGAAUGAAGUGAUUCUCAGUCAGAAGCAGCAGAUUAGAGAAUUUGCCAGUAAACCAUACAGCAGUGUUGGUGAGCCGAAAGGGAAUCCUCCUCUAACCCGGCAAGCCCUGGACUCCAAGCCAGCUGGCCCUGCUGCAGCCAGGAAUGCCUCCACCACACAGACUCUGGAUGGUGCACCCAGCCUGACCAUGGUACAUGAGCAGGCAUUUCCGUCGCACGUGCUGGAACCUAUAGAAGAGCUUUCGUCAGAGGAGGAAAAAGGACGAGAAAAUGACCAGAAAUCAAGUAAGAAGACACAUCUAAGGAAAACUUGGAAGGGCAGCCACUCCUCAAAGGGGCUCAGGACAAACUUGGAGAUGGAGCUGGAGAAGAAGCUGAAGAGCCUCGGGAUUAACGCAGAUAUACAUGGCAUUCCCUGCGAGAUCUUGACCAAAUCACUGAAAACCAUGCAGGGAGCCAGAGAAGAUCUAGCAAAACAAAUUCCCGACAUUCAGCAAAUUCGAGAAUCCCUCGAGCAUCAGCUGACCUGUAAAAUCGAGGAGAAGGUGUCACUAUCUUCAGAUAGAUACAAUGUCCCUCUCAUGACCACUUUGUCAGCUGAAGACGUCCUCAAAGCCUCCCAGGUUCCCCCGCAAGGCAGACCAUUGAUCAGACAGAGGACCGUGUUUACUGAGAAGGUGGCUGUCCCGAAAUUUAAGAAAAGUACCAAAGAAAAUCAUUUUCUCAGAAAGUUUUCAUCUACCAAGACGCCGCCCUUCAGCUCGGAGGAGGAGCUGGAUGAAGAGGACUUCAUCCCGGCAUACAUAUCUCCAGACUUAUUUACCCUCCAGCCGUCUAAGAGUAACCUGAGCAACUUCGGGAAGAAUUCUGUCAAAAGUGACACCGACUGGACGGAGGGAAGCGAGAUUGAGGACUCAGAUGUUUCCCCGAAGCCCACAGGAACCUCUGUUAAAAUACAAACUGAAAAUGUUGAGAGCAUGGUUUUACACCAAGGAAGUGGGAAUAAACCAGUUACUGGAAUGAAUAUUGCUGAGACACUUAUCAAAAAGGAAGACUUGCAAGAAUUAAAGUGCACAGAUCGAGAUGAUGGUGCCUGGGACAUAUCAUCCUUAGAGGAAGAGAAAUCCUUGGAGAAAAAGCUAGAACAGAGGGAACCCCCACCUGUGAAGAGAGAUCUAAAUUCCGCUCAAGUGCCAAGGGCCUGGGGCCCAGUGAACCCUCGGGAAUUCAAGGAAGAAGCUUCCUGCCAGCGCGGAGAGUUCCCACAGCCCUGUCUCCUGUCUGCAGCAGGUCGUCUUGUCCCCGUUGGGCGUUCUCAGCUCUGUCCCUUUUCUCUCUCGAGAAUGUCAGCUGUGCACUAACUGCCACACUGUCACAUGAUAACGUGUCUGCAGCAGAGCCAUUGUGAAGUUAUCUCUGCUAAGGACUCAUAAAAUCCAAAAGACUGCUUGAGAGACACUGCCUCAUGAGGAACUGGGAGCAUGCUUCUGUGCCAGGACCCUGCGUUUCUCAGAGAACAUUCCAGAAUCAAAUUAGAGUGGAGUUCUCCACAGCGCGCUGCUCCCGCGGCUCAAAACCAUGACUGACUUCAUGACAACGAAUCGAGCACCCUGAAAAGCAGCCUAGUGACUGUGACUGACUGGAGUGAGAUCAUGGAUGUGUAGCUACAACUCCAGUUAGAGAACCGCUUCCUAGCCAGCAUCGGCCGACAGCCAAUAGGAUUCCAGCGUUCCUCAGCUUUCCCACCGUACAAGGAAGCUCAUUCAGAGCAAGGGCGUCUUCGACGACACACGUACCGCAGAAUUGAAAACUGUCGGCUGUGUAGAAGCAAGAUGUUCUUUAAAUCAUAAAAUGUGUUUUCCAGUACGGUACUCUAGUGUUAAAUGUAUUUUUUUUCAAUUAACUUUUAAGUUUUUUUUUUUUGACUGAUAGUAGGCUUUGGUUUGAAUUAUUGUAGCUUUUUAAAAUAUGUCUGUUCUGUCACGUCAGUAUGUUACAAAAUUCUGUUAAGUCUCUUCAAAACUGAAUUAGUGAUACCAGUGACACCCUACGUGUUAAACUGGUUGUUUUCCGUAUACAGUAUGUCUAGAAUGGUAACAAUUAGCUAGGCCCAUGCUAAAUACAUUUCCCUGAAGUACCUUUGAUCCCACGGAGCUCUGAGGCCCUCUUAGCAUGUUGUUACUGACCAGUUAUUUUCUGCAGUGUAAUCUUUAUCUCGGAUACUUUAUGAAUAGUGUGCAACUGAUUUUCAUGAGAUGAUCAUUAGAAAGAGAUGAGCCAUUCCUGAGUCACACAUGUGUGUAUUUUCUGUGUUCUUCAGUACCCAGCCCAUUAUAAAAUACCUCAGAACUAAUUUAUAUUCUUGAACAAUGGUCUCGGCAUUGAUCGGAAAAUUUGUAUAUAAACUGUUUGCUUGCUUUUCUUUUUUAUUUAUUUUUUCCUUCUUUUAAAAAAAUAGUUUUUAUACUUUGUGGUACCAUUAGGACUCUAUCUCAGAAAACAAAAGAAAGGUAACAUUUUAAUAGCUUGUGGAUUUGGGGUCUUCUGUCAUCCAUCAACAGUGCCAGUAAAGUCCUCCAUGACACCCUG